AGCAGUAGCCGCGGUAAAACAGAGGGUGCAAGCGUUAAUCGGAAUUACUGGGCGUAAAGCGCGCGUAGGUGGUUUGUUAAGUUGGAUGUGAAAGCCCCGGGCUCAACCUGGGAACUGCAUACAAAACUGGCAAGCUAGAGUACGGUAGAGGGUGGUGGAAUUUCCUGUGUAGCGGUGAAAUGCGUAGAUAUAGGAAGGAACACCAGUGGCGAAGGCGACCACCUGGACUGAUACUGACACUGAGGUGCGAAAGCGUGGGGAGCAAAUGGGAUUAGAUACCCCCGUAGUCCCUGUCUCUUAUAC
rnacentral:rRNA from 1 species